UUUCCAUAAUGAUUAAAAAACCAUAGAAAUUUCGAUUAUCGAUUGACCUGACGCUUUAUCGAAAUCGUUGCGCGUGGUCGAGAAAGAUCGAAUAGGUUCAUCCAAUCCUAUCCAACUACCAUCGACCAAUCGCCGGCAUCCUCAUCGUACCGUCGAAUAACUCAGAAUUGCCAAUGAACUAUUCCCGCGAUCGUAAUAGAUCAAAGAGUUACGCGACACGUUCGAUCACCAUUUCUCUCUCGUAUUUGUCCGCGUUUGUAAAUUCGCUCGCAUAAUACGCAUAGUAGAAUAUACGCUGAGGUGUGUUCCGUUUCGCCGCAUCUAAACAACGGAUGACUAUUGGAGGCGUGACUCUUUCGUUAUUCGGAUAGUUAAACAAAUUCCUGUAUAACUUUUCCGCAUUAAAUUAAUUACGUGGUUUUAAAACUUGGGAAACUGUAAAAUUCGAAAAUUUAUAAGGAUCAGAAGAACUCCAAGUUCCAGAACGGGGGCGAUUGAUGCAUCAUAAACCCAAUCGUCGUCUUAAGACUUGCCACGAAAUACGAGGACUGAAAAUAAAAAAAUAAAAUUGUACCAUUUGUAAGUAUAUAUAAUUAUAAAAAUAUUAAUUAGCAUGAUAUUUAUUUUAUUUUUUUCUAAAUUAAUUUUAAACUCAACCAUCAUGAAUCACUG